rnacentral:rRNA from 1 species
GAUGAACGCUGGCUACAGGCUUAACACAUGCAAGUCGAGGGGAAACGACGGGGAAGCUUGCUUCCUCGGGCGUCGACCGGCGCACGGGUGAGUAACGCGUAUCCAACCUGCCUCUGACUGAGGGAUAACCCGUCGAAAGUCGGCCUAAUACCUCAUGGCAUCGUCUGCGGGCAUCCAACGACGAUUAAAGAUUUCAUCGGUCAGGGAUGGGGAUGCGUCUGAUUAGUUAGUUGGCGGGGUAACGGCCCACCAAGGCGACGAUCAGUAGGGGUUCUGAGAGGAAGGUCCCCCACAUUGGAACUGAGACACGGUCCAAACUCCUACGGGAGGCAGCAGUGAGGAAUAUUGGUCAAUGGGCGAGAGCCUGAACCAGCCAAGUAGCGUGCAGGAUGACGGCCCUAUGGGUUGUAAACUGCUUUUAUGCGGGGAUAAAGUGAGGGACGUGUCCUUCAUUGCAGGUACCGCAUGAAUAAGGACCGGCUAAUUCCGUGCCAGCAGCCGCGGUAAUACGGAAGGUCCGGGCGUUAUCCGGAUUUAUUGGGUUUAAAGGGAGCGUAGGCCGUGGAUUAAGCGUGUUGUGAAAUGCAGGUGCUCAACGUCUGCACUGCAGCGCGAACUGGUCCACUUGAGUGUGCGCAACGCAGGCGGAAUUCGUCGUGUAGCGGUGAAAUGCUUAGAUAUGACGAAGAACUCCGAUUGCGAAGGCAGCUUGCGGGAGCACAACUGACGCUGAAGCUCGAAAGUGCGGGUAUCGAACAGG